GAUGAACGCUGGCGGUAUGCCUAACACAUGCAAGUCGAACGAGCUCUUCGGAGCUAGUGGCGGACGGGUGAGUAACGCGUGAGAAUCUGCCUUCAGGAUGGGGACAACAGUUGGAAACGAUUGCUAAAACCCAAUGUGCCGCAAGGUGAAAUAUUAAUAGCCUGAAGAGGAGCUCGCGUCCGAUUAGUUAGUUGGUGGGGUAAAGGCCUACCAAGGCAGCGAUCGGUAGCUGGUCUGAGAGGAUGAGCAGCCACACUGGGACUGAGACACGGCCCAGACUCCUACGGGAGGCAGCAGUGGGGAAUUUUCCGCAAUGGGCGAAAGCCUGACGGAGCAAUACCGCGUGAGGGAGGAAGGUUUUUGGAUUGUAAACCUCUUUUGUUAAGGAAGAAGAAAGUGACGGUACUUAACGAAUAAGCAUCGGCUAACUCCGUGCCAGCCGCCGCAGUAA
rnacentral:rRNA from 1 species